UACGUAGGGUGCAAGCGUUGUCCGGAAUUAUUGGGCGUAAAGAGCUCGUAGGCGGUUUGUCGCGUCUGCUGUGAAAACCGGAGGCUCAACCUCCGGCCUGCAGUGGGUACGGGCAGACUAGAGUGCGGUAGGGGAGACUGGAAUUCCUGGUGUAGCGGUGAAAUGCGCAGAUAUCAGGAGGAACACCGGUGGGCGAAGGCGGGUCUCUGGGCCGAUAACUGA
rnacentral:rRNA from 1 species